AUUGCAGGCUGCAACUCGCCUGCAUGAAGUUGGAAUUGCUAGUAAUCGCGGAUCAGCAUGCCGCGGUGAAUACGUUCCCGGGCCUUGUACACACCGCCCGUCACACCAUGGGAGUUUGUAACACCCGAAGUCAGUAUCCUAACCGCGAAGGGGGGAACUGCCGAAGGUGGGAUAAGCGACUGGGGUGAAGUCGUAACAAGGUAGC
rnacentral:rRNA from 1 species